rnacentral:lncRNA from 1 species
GGUUGGUUGGUUGGUUGGUUGGUUGGUUGAAAUUCAAACACACAUAAAACUGCUUAAAUAGUGCCAAAACCACAUAAUUUGAUGACCUUGACCUUUGACCUUGUGACUUUCGUCAAGGUCAUUGCUCCACAAGGUCAUUGCAAAAGACCCUAUGGGUCAAGGACCUUUUGUUAAAGAGUUUUGCCUAAAAAUGGAUUUUUAAAAACCAUCGAUGGGAGUUAUGUCCCUUACAUGAUGGUAAACUCAAUAUAGUCAUAAUGUAAAAAAGUUGCCCCUUGAAGUACCAAGCAUUUUUCACUGCUUAAUAUUUUUGUAUCUAUAACCGUUCAAGAAUUAUAGGGAAAUGAAAAACUUAUAAAAAUCUAAAAUAUGACCUUGACCUUUGACCUUGACCUAAUUUUCUAAGUUAGGAUCCAGGGGACUCAAAUAAAAACAUUCCAGGGUUAUACGGUCAACGGUUUAUGAGUUAAAAAAACAUACCGACAAAUUUAUUCCGUAAAGGUAGAUAACUCCUUUAAAAUUUAAUCGAAUCGCUUCGAUCCAAAUACGCCAAAAAUUACUAAGCAUGUAACGAACAACUUGUGAAAAGAAUUUUGUCGCUAUGUUUUUUUGUUACGAAGGAGAUACGCUCUGAUGAUAAACAGUGAAUAGGGAGAUAACUCUAACAAAGAAAAUGGUUCGGCUUAGCAGGGUAAAAUUUAAAAGCGCAUAAACUAUACGAUACAAUAUGAGAAAUAUCUAAGCGACAUAUUGCGAAACAAACAUUUAUCGCAAGAACAAAAGUUGGCGGAAAAAAAAAAAAAAAUAAUAAUAAUAAUAAUAAUUAAAA